UUAUUUUUGAUCAGACAAAAUCCGUUUUCACGCCGGGCUCAUGAACCUUAGAUUGGCCAUUUCCCGCAGUUCUCUGAAACUUCUGCCUGGUGUCUGGCCAGCUGCUUAUUUGCGGGGGCCCGCGGCACCCAGUAGGUGCUCACUUCGUGGCUCAUGAGCUGAGACGUCCCGUCCCACGAGCGGCCCUCCUCGGCGGCAGCACUUUCCCGAGCGAAUCGUCUCAUCCCUCUGCGCUUCAGUCUUCCCGAGCUACAGAGUGGGGCAAGGGACAGGUGGCUGCGAGGGUUAAACGGGCGGAUCGUUAAAACCUUCCAGACGCAGAAGCCUUUUCCACGAUGCAGCGCCAGGACCCCAGCGCCAAGCAGGGCACGAGGAGGGGACCCAGAUGAGGAGAUCUAAUGUGAGCCCAGUAUUCUGCAGUCCCCAGCACACAGUAGGUGUGAAGGGAUUCCCAGGCCAAGCCCUUUCCUGCCCAGUGAGGAGUCCCAGCCCUGCUCUGGGGGCCCAGGCCAGAAUGGAAGGUCUGAAAUGCCACUCGCGCCACCUGUGAAGUCUUGCAUGUACCGAGGCCUGUUUCUAGGCCAGUGCUGUUCAGUGGAACUUCCUGCAGUGACGGGGAUGGGAAUGUUCUAGAUCUGUUAUCCCACACAGUAACCACAAGCCACAGAACCCAUGAAACGUGGCUAUGAAGAUCAGGAAAGCGAGUUGUAAAUUUUAGUUAAUCCUCAUUAACUUAAAUGUAAAUACCUACAUGUUCUAGCAUGUUCCAGCACGGUCCAGACUCUCCAUAUGUUACCAGAAAUGCUUUAGGUCCAGUAAGCCUGGCUGUCACGUGGGGGUCAGGAACCAUGGUUCCCGGUAUUGAUGCUUUACUAAGCCCCAUCCAGUGAGCUGGAUUCUUCCUUCUUUCUUCUCAAAACUUUCUCUGCUGUGCACAGACACUCUGUCCUCACAUAAUACUAACAACUUCUUUGCUUUUUGGUACUCUCCUGCCAUCACGGACACACACUGCAACUUCCAAAGGCUAUGUGACUUCCCACAUCACCCCAACCCAGUGCAAACACAGGUAUGGAAUCCAGCAGCUUCUAUUAUGCCAAACAUUAGAAAGGUUUGCAAACAUGUAAAAUGGGACAGAAUUUUCUAAAAU